GAUGAACGCUGGCGGCGUGCCUAAUACAUGCAAGUCGAGCGAACAGACGAGGAGCUUGCUCCUCUGACGUUAGCGGCGGACGGGUGAGUAACACGUGGAUAACCUACCUAUAAGACUGGGAUAACUUCGGGAAACCGGAGCUAAUACCGGAUAAUAUAUUGAACCGCAUGGUUCAAUAGUGAAAGACGGUUUUGCUGUCACUUAUAGAUGGAUCCGCGCCGCAUUAGCUUGUUGGUCAUGUAACGGCUUAUCAAGGCAACGAUGCGUACCCGACCUGAGCGGGUGGUCGGCCACCUUAGAACUGAGACAGGGUCAAGACUCCUACGGGAGGCCGCAGAAGGGAAUCUUCCGCAAUGGGAGAAAGCCUGACGGAGCAACCCCGAGUGAGUGAUGAAGAUCUUCGGAUCGUAAAACUCUGUUAUUAGGGAAAAACAAAUGUGUAAGUAACUAUGCACGGAUUGACGGUAACUGAUCAGAAAGCCACGGCUAACUACGUG
rnacentral:rRNA from 1 species